rnacentral:rRNA from 1 species
UACGGAAGGCAGCAGUAGGGGAAUCUUCCGCAAUGGACGAAAGUCUGACGGAGCAACGCCGCGUGAACGAUGAAGGCUUUCGGGUCGUAAAGUUCUGUUGUUAGGGAAGAACAAGUACCGGAGUAACUGCCGGUACCUUGACGGUACCUAACCAGAAAGCCACGGCUAACUACGUGCCAGCAGCCGCGGUAAUACGUAGGUGGCAAGCGUUGUCCGGAAUUAUUGGGCGUAAAGCGCGCGCAGGCGGUCCUUUAAGUCUGAUGUGAAAGCCCACGGCUCAACCGUGGAGGGUCAUUGGAAACUGGGGACUUGAGUGCAGAAGAGGAGAGUGGAAUUCCACGUGUAGCGGUGAAAUGCGUAGAGAUGUGGAGGAACACCAGUGGCGAAGGCGACUCUCUGGUCUGUAACUGACGCUGAGGCGCGAAAGCGUGGGGAGCGAACAGGGAUUAGAUACCCGU